UACGGAGGGGGCUAGCGUUGCUCGGAAUUACUGGGCGUAAAGCGUGCGCAGGCGGUUCGCUAAGACCGAUGUGAAAUCCCCCGGGCUUAACCUGGGAACUGCAUUGGUGACUGGCGGGCUAGAGUAUGGCAGAGGGGGGGUAGAAUUCCACGUGUAGCAGUGAAAUGCGUAGAUAUCGGAAGGAACACCGGUGGCGAAAGCGGCGCGCUGGACCUCUUCUGACGCUGAGGCGCGAAAGCCAGGGGAGCAAACGGG
rnacentral:rRNA from 1 species